GAUGAACGCUGGCGGCGUGCCUAAUACAUGCAAGUCGAGCGAACGGACGAGAAUCUUGCUUCUCUGAUGUUAGCGGCGGACGGGUGAGUAACACGUGGCUAACCUACCUAUAAGACUGGGAUAACUUCGAGGAACCGGAGCUAAUACCGGAUUAUAUUUUGAACCGCAUGGUUCAAACUUGAGAGACGGUCUUGCUGUCACUUAUAGAUGGAUCCGCGCUGCAUUAGCUAGUUGGUAAGGUAACGGCUUACCAAGGCAACGAUGCAUAGCCGACCUGAGAGGGUGAUCGGCCACACUGGAACUGAGACACGGUCCAGACUCCUACGGGAGGCAGCAGUAGGGAAUCUUCCGCAAUGGGCGAAAGCCUGACGGAGCAACGCCGCGUGAGUGAUGAAGGUCUUCGGAUCGUAAAACUCUGUUAUUAGGGAAGAACAUAUGUGUAAGUAACUGUGCACAUCUUGACGGUACCUAAUCAGAAAGCCACGGCUAACUACGUG
rnacentral:rRNA from 1 species